rnacentral:rRNA from 1 species
UUGGAGGGCAAGUCUGGUGCCAGCAGCCGCGGUAAUUCCAGCUCCAAUAGCGUAUAUUAAAGUUGUUGCAGUUAAAAAGCUCGUAGUUGAAUUUCGGGAUUGACGUGAUGGUCAUGCCUUAAGGGGUAUGAACUGUUACUGUUGAUUUCUCACCUUCUGGAGAAACAUGAUGUCCUUUAUUGGGUGUCUUGCGGAUCCAGGACCUUUACCUUGAAAAAAUUAGAGUGUUUAAAGCAGGCAUUUUUGCUCGAAUACAUUAGCAUGGAAUAAUAGAAUAGGACGGCAUGGUUCUAUUUUGUUGGUUUCUAGGAUCACCGUAAUGAUUAAUAGGGAUAGUUGGGGGCAUUAGUAUUCAAUUGUCAGAGGUGAAAUUCUUGGAUUUAUUGGAGACUAACUACUGCGAAAGCAUUUGCCAAGGAUGUUUUCAUUAAUCAAGAACGAAAGUUAGGGGAUCGAAGACGACCAGAUACCGUCGUAGUCUUAACCAUAAACUAUGCCGACUAGGAAUCAGACGAUGUUAAUUUUUAAUGACUCGUUUGGCACCUUACGGGAAACCAAAGUGUUUGGGUUC